rnacentral:rRNA from 1 species
AGUGAACGCUGGCGGUAGGCCUAACACAUGCAAGUCGAACGGCAGCACAGUAAGAGCUUGCUCUUACGGGUGGCGAGUGGCGGACGGGUGAGGAAUACAUCGGAAUCUACUUUUUCGUGGGGGAUAACGUAGGGAAACUUACGCUAAUACAGCAUACGACCUACGGGUGAAAGCAGGGGAUCUUCGGACCUUGCGCGAUUGAAUGAGCCGAUGUCGGAUUAGCUAGUUGGCGGGGUAAAGGCCCACCAAGGCGACGAUCCGUAGCUGGUCUGAGAGGAUGGUCAGCCACACUGGAACUGAGACACGGUCCAGACUCCUACGGGAGGCAGCAGUGGGGAAUAUUGGGCAAUGGGCGCAAGCCUGAUCCAGCCAUACUGCGUGGGUGAAGAAGGCCUUCGGGUUGUAAAGCCCUUUUGUUGGGAAAGAAAAGCAGCAGGUUAAUACCCCGCUGUUCUGACGGUACCCAAAGAAUAAGCACCGGCUAACUUCGUG